rnacentral:lncRNA from 1 species
UUGUGUUCUCCAUAUUUUUAUAAUGACAGUCUACUGGGAAUUGUGUCCAGAAGCAGCAGCACAUUAUUGAAUAUUUUCUUUCCCAUCUGUCUUGCCUCCAUCUUCAAUCAAUCAAUCAAUCAAAGAAAGGAAGAAAGGAAGGACGGAAGGAAGGAAGGAAGGAGAAGGAAAGAAAGANUCUUGCCUCCAUCUUCAAUCAAUCAAUCAAUCAAAGAAAGGAAGAAAGGAAGGAAGGAGAAGGAAAGAAAGAAAAGAAAGAAAGAAAGAAGAAAGGACGGAAGGAAGGAAACAUUCCUUAUGUUACUAAAGAAAUGGAGGAUUCUAUUUCCUGAAAUACCUAGAGUAUUUGCCAGAAACAUGACACAAUGCAUAGAAGGAAAUUUAGAAGAUUACAUGGAUUGGCAAGAGAUUCCAGAAGAUAGCAGCCCCCUUCAUUCUAAAGACAACAGCCAAAAAAGACCUCAAACUAACAAACAACACAAACAGGAAAAAAGGAUCCAGCAGUUUUCUUUAAAACUGACAUUUUGGGCUAGAUCUCUUAGUCCAUAUAGAAUAGAGUGGAGAAGAGAAAACUAAUACUUCUCUCUUUGUAUAUAAU